UGAGAGAGUGAACGGCCACAUUGGGACUGAGACACGGCCCAAACUCCUACGGGAGGCAGCAGUGGGGAAUAUUGCACAAUGGGCGAAACCCUGACUGCAGCGACGCCGCGUGAAGGAAGAAGUAUUUCGGUAUGUAAACUUCUAUCAUUCAGGGAAGAUAAUGACAGUACCUGACUAAGAAGCUCCGGCUAAAUACGUGCCAGC
rnacentral:rRNA from 1 species